UGCAACCUGAACUCAGAUGUGACUACCCGCUGAACUUAAGCAUAUCAUUUAGCGGAGGAAAAGAAACUAA
rnacentral:rRNA from 1 species